rnacentral:rRNA from 1 species
UACGAAGGGGGCGAGCGUUGUUCGGAUUUACUGGGCGUAAAGGGCGCGUAGGCGGUGUGUCAAGUCAGGCGUGAAAGCCCCGGGCUCAACCUGGGAACCGCGCUUGAGACUGGCACGCUAGAGUUCGGGAGAGGAUGGUGGAAUUCCCAGUGUAGAGGUGAAAUUCGUAGAUAUUGGGAAGAACACCGAUGGCGAAGGCAGCCAUCUGGACCGACACUGACGCUGAGGCGCGAAAGCGUGGGGAGCAAACAGG